GAUGAACGCUGGCGGCGUGCCUAAUACAUGCAAGUCGAGCGAACAGAUAAGGAGCUUGCUCCUUUGACGUUAGCGGCGGACGGGUGAGUAACGCGUGGGUAACCUACCUAUAAGACUGGGAUAACUUCGGGAAACCGGAGCUAAUACCGGAUAACAUUUGGAACCGCAUGGUUCUAAAGUGAAAGAUGGUUUUGCUAUCACUUAUAGAUGGACCCGCGCCGUAUUAGCUAGUUGGUAAGGUAACGGCUUACCAAGGCGACGAUACGUAGCCGACCUGAGAGGGUGAUCGGCCACACUGGAACUGAGACACGGUCCAGACUCCUACGGGAGGCAGCAGUAGGGAAUCUUCCGCAAAGGGCGAAAGCCUGACGGAGCAACGCCGCGUGAGUGAUGAAGGGUUUCGGCUCGUAAAACUCUGUUAUUAGGGAAGAACAAAUGUGUAAGUAACUGUGCAUGUCUUGACGGUACCUAAUCAGAAAGCCACGGCUAACUACGUG
rnacentral:rRNA from 1 species